rnacentral:misc_RNA from 1 species
AAGACUAUAGACCUGCGGAGUACCUGCGGAAGGAUCAUUAUCGAGUUUACAACUCCCAAACCAUUGUGAAUCUUACCUUUUCGUUGCUUCGGCGGGAUCGCCCCGGGCGCUUCGGUGCCCCGGAUUCAGGCGCCCGCCGGGGGACCUAAACUCUUGUAUUAUAGUGGAUUUCUGAGUGGAUUACACAAAUAAUCAAAACUUUUAACAACGGAUCUCU